GGAAGCAGGAGGUGGAAGUGAAGGUCACCAGAGAUCACUUUUCCCAUGGAUCACUAUGGUCAUUCACCUUCUCAAGGAAUUCAGUAAUGGGCCGGUAGCAUCUUUGUCACAGCCUGUUCCUCUUUCCCUUGCACCUCCACCUCCCUUCCUGUGGAUGGCCAGGCCAAAGCGCUGCCUUCUCAGGACUCUUCACAGAAAAAAGAGAUACACAGAAACCUUCAGAGAUGGAGAAUCAGGUGGGAUGUACACACUGAUAACACCUGUCUCCUCUUGCGAAAACCUUCACGGGACUGUGGGACUUUGUCAGCAGCACUUGGGUGCAGGUGGACAACUCUGAAGGCAGUUUGUGCCCUCUUACGCAUUUGCUAAUUUUAGAGCCGUUAGCUCUGUCUUGGGUAGAUUUCAGCAGUGUUCACCGAACCUGUCUGUGUGUGUUAUCUGGGUUCCCCAGCUUGAGGAGAAACGGCAUCCUCGGAGCUCCCACCAAGGAGGCAGAGGAGCCUCAUGCUGCCUCAGCUGUGUCCAAGUCUGCUCUGCAGAGCUGGAACUGCUCAGCAAUACCCAUGUUUUUGCCACUGAGGACACAUCUCUACAUGAAAUGGGCAUGGAACCGGCUCAUUUAGAUACAUAUAUGGGAACUCGGAGAACUGCUUCUGAUUAACCCUUUCUAUUGCUUUCUGGCAUUCCUCAGUUGUUCUGCAGGACAGCUAUCAGCUGCCGCUGUUCAGAAAAGAACUACGUAUUUCUUUUUCUGAUACUUUUCUACCUCUUGCAGCUGUCAAGAAGAGCUAAGGAACAUGAUCCAUGAAAAUAAAAUGAUUCAGUUCUAGUUUUCCAGGUCUAAAUCAGCUAUGAGCUACUAAGAUCAGUAGCAAACUAAUGUGCAAUAACAAACUAAUGUGCAAGAGACUAUCAAACGUCUGCUGCUGUGGUUUUCCUUCCUGUGAAACACUUGGUUAUUAUCAGAAGCAAGAUCUUGAGCACUUGGUUAUGGGUUAUGGAAGGGACACUCCUAUGUCUCUAAAGGGUCAAAAAAACAGGAAGAAAGUUUUAAAAGCUUCAAAAUCAUAGUUUUAGCCAAUCAGUAUUUUCAGGCUGAUCUGAUUUUUUGGAAGGACUGUCUGCAUUAGUUUAUAGUCCUCGGGGAUGGUGAAGCUAAGUGUGGAUAGGCAUCCGCAUGCACUGUAGUUGACAGUGAAUGCAGGUAAACAGAGUUUGCCCGUGUAAGAGCAGCCCAUAUCUUAAAGAUACCUUCUUGGGUGUACCUACCCUUUCUUAAAACGGACUUAGCAAGAGCAGGGCCGUGCUCAAACCGAGCCCUUCCGACUCGCCUUGCUUGAUGCCAUCUAGUGGCUGCUGGGGGCCGGGAGCUCUCAGACAAGAGCACAGAAUUUGCAAAACAACCCAUUUUUGGGAAGUGAGCACUGCAAGUAAUAAUUCUUCUUGGAGUCAGAGAGUUAAAAAUCAGAUGAGCCCGCUCCUAAUCAUCUGCUGGCAUUAAUCAAGCCACUGAAUCCAUGGCAGAGCCCAGCACAGACAUGGCUCAGCAGAGUUUGGCCAGCUGUAGCCUAGAAAAGCCCAGCAGGAAAGAAUUUGUGAAAGGGAAUUCUGUACAGAAAAGGAGCAUCCUUAAAAAAACGGGUGCUAAUGUGAAGCUCUGGGUAUCCAGCAUGGACAUCGAGCUGACAGCCAGACAGUGGUUUCAAAUGUCAUUACAGACUUCAUGUGCGUCUUUCCCAGUUUCUUCCAAAUCCUUCUGCAGUAGGUCUAAGUGAUUCAACAACCGGAGCCAAACAUUUCUCUCCUACCAACAGCAUCCCAGCUGAUGACACUGAUUUGCAGAAAAUCCUAAUUAAGACUGAGUCCCUAGGUGCAAUUGUAGGUAUCGUAAUACCCAAAUGAAAUAUGUUUUGAAAUCAGCAACUGAGUAAGUCAUCUAAUGCAGCCUCUCCUCUUUCAUUCACAAAUUAGUUGGGAUGGACUUUGGUGGUUUUGUUUUGGUUUUUUUGUUGUUGUUGUGUUUUGUGUGUUGGGUUUUUUUUUACUUUCUCUGGUCAGUGGUGUGAGAGAAUGACUUCCAGCCUGCCUGGAAUAUUCCUGUUAAUCUUUGCACAAAAGUUCAAGACUAUUUCUGGGCUUAAGUUUUCCAUUAAAAUUCAUUUAUGGUCCCCAAUUUUUUUUUUGUUUAGUGAACAUUAAUACUCAAAGUGCCUUUCUUAAUGUUCUCAUACAAGUAUUUGAGAAAACACUAAAAUUUACUCAUCAAAACAUCUACAUUGAGUCUGAGUUUCUGUAAAAUAGGUAGUUUAUAUAUAAAACCACAAAAAAGUAUCUUUCCAUCACAUGAUCAUAACCCUGUUUUCUGACCACAAGAGUUGACUGA